rnacentral:rRNA from 1 species
UACGGAGGGAGCUAGCGUUGUUCGGAAUUACUGGGCGUAAAGCGCACGUAGGCGGCUUUGUAAGUUAGAGGUGAAAGCCCGGGGCUCAACUCCGGAACUGCCUUUAAGACUGCAUCGCUAGAAUCCGGGAGAGGUGAGUGGAAUUCCGAGUGUAGAGGUGAAAUUCGUAGAUAUUCGGAAGAACACCAGUGGCGAAGGCGGCUCACUGGCCCGGUACUGACGCUGAGGUGCGAAAGCGUGGGGAGCAAACAGG